GUCAACGGUCAUACCACGUUGAACAAACCAGUUCUCGUCCGAUCGCUGCAGUUAAGCAACGGUGGGCACGGUUAGUACUUGGAUGGGUGGUGGUGGGUGCCGCUUAGGACCACCGUGUGCUGUUGGCA
rnacentral:rRNA from 1 species